UACGAAGGGGGCUAGCGUUGCUCGAAUCACUGGGCGUAAAGCGCACGUAGGCGGCUUUGUAAGUUAGAGGUGAAAGCCCGGGGCUCAACUCCGGAACUGCCUUUAAGACUGCAUCGCUUGAAUCCAGGAGAGGUGAGUGGAAUUCCGAGUGUAGAGGUGAAAUUCGUAGAUAUUCGGAAGAACACCAGUGGCGAAGGCGGCUCACUGGACUGGUAUUGACGCUGAGGUGCGAAAGCGUGGGGAGCAAACAGG
rnacentral:rRNA from 1 species